ensembl:lncRNA
GUUCCGUAUGAGUGUUUGUGUGAGUGUUUGUGUGUGCGUGGGUGUUUGUGUGUGUGCAUGAGUCAGCGGUUGGAGGUUAGCUGUAGUUGCUGAGAGACACCCAAUCGUCAAGUAAGGACACAGGCCUGCCGGAACAUCGCCAAGGGCAAAGUGACCCGGAUGAUGAGCGCUGGCUGCCUCCGAGUCUGCUCGCCGUUCAAUCAGCCUGUCUCUCAUUAUGGAGAGCGGCCCGGGCCUCCAACUGCGCGGUGUCGGCGUUGGCUACCAGCCGGGGAACGCGGGAGCAGCGAGGUGAAGCUGUGCAUCUGGCUUCAAUAGGAGGACGCCACGGUGCAGGAGCAGAGCCCUCCAAUUCCCACCGGGGCUCCGACUGCCAGUCGAAGGCUCUGAGUACGUCUGCGAUGGACCGGAUGUUUACAGGAUCGUCUGACCUGCAGGAGCUUUUGGUCAGCGAGAUAACCGCUGGCCUCUUGUCCGAUCCCACCAAGUAGCUGACAUGUCACUCCAACCUGCAGGCCCCGCCCACCCUCCAUCAACACCACUGGGUGUGUUGAGUCGUCAGGUGUCUGGGUAACAUCGCACACACACACAUGAUCGCACACACAAACACAAAUCAAACUCCUUUUGCUUCAGUGGAGAUUUAACCUGGAAUUUUUCACGCCGCCGUCCCUUUAAAAAUCACAUCCAGAUCUGAAAAUAGAUCAGCUUCUGUUCCAAUGUGUUAUCCUCCUCAGCUGUCUGUCAUUACAUCCUCCUCCACUGCUUGACGUCAGCCAGGCUGCGUUUACACCCAGCCGGCACAAACUCCUCGAAUAAUCUAUAACACCUGUAAAUAUGACACAGCAGAUGGUAUUGAUUCAACUGUGGAUGUUUUUUUUGUUUUUUAAAGUAUGCUGUCAGUGUAUAAGAUAUAUAUCGCCUUAAAAAUCACCUUACCCUCAAC